ensembl:snRNA U6 U6 spliceosomal RNA
GUACUCACUUUGGCAGAGCAGGUACUAAGAUUGGAACGAUGCAGAGAUUAGCAUGGCCCCUGCCCAGGGAUGACACACAAAAUCGUGACGUAUUCCAUAUUUUU